rnacentral:rRNA from 1 species
CGUGAGGGAAAGGUGAAAAGAACCCCGGGAGGGGAGUGAAAGAGAACCUGAAACCCUGCACUUACAAGCUGUGGGAGCACAUUACUUGUGUGACCGCGUACUUUUUGUAGAACGGGCCAACGAGUUACGUUAAGUAGCAAGGUUAAGCACUUAAGGUGUGGAGCCGUAGCGAAAGCGAGUCUUAAAUGGGCGUCCAGUUACCCGACGUAGACCCGAAACCAGGCGACCUAUCCAUGAGCAGGUUGAAGCGAAAGUAAAAUUUCGUGGAGGACCGAACCCACGUACGUUGAAAAGUGCGGGGAUGACUUGUGGAUAGCGGUGAAAUUCCAAUCGAGCCUGGAGAUAGCUGGUUCUCCCCGAAAUAGCUUUAGGGCUAGCCUCAAGCUUAGAGAAACGGAGGUAGAGCACUGAAUGUCCUAGGGGGUAUUGCACUUACCGAAGACUAUCAAACUCCGAAUGCCGUUUUCUUUUACUUGGGAGUCAGACUGUGGGUGAUAAGAUUCAUAGUCAAAAGGGCAACAGCCCAGAUCGUCAGCUAAGGUCCCUAAAUGUACGUUAAGUGGUAAAGGAUGUGGGAUUGCACAGACAACCAGGAUGUUGGCUUAGAAGCAGCCACUCAUUUAAAGAGUGCGUAAUAGCUCACUGGUCGAGUGAUUCUGCGCCGAAAAUUUCCGGGGCUAAAACUUACUACCGAAGCUACGGCAUCAUUAUGAUGGGUAGGGGAGCUUUCUAUACGGGUUGAAGCAUGACCGUAAGGACAUGUGGACUGUAUAGAAGUGAGAAUGUUGGCAUGAGUAGCGAGAUGUGGGUGAGAAUCCCACAGGCCGUAAACCCAAGGUUUCCAGGGGAAGGUUCGUCCGCCCUGGGUUAGUCAGGACCUAAGCCGAGGCCGAAAGGCGUAGGUGAUGGACAACAGGUUGAUAUUCCUGUACCACCAAUAACCGUUUGAGAAAUGGGAUGACACAGUAGGAUAAGCUAACCGCACUGUUGGUUAUGUGCGGGCAAGUAUUGAGGCAGUUCCGAUAGGCAAAUCCGUCGGAAUAAUGCUGGGGUACGAUGCGGAGCGAAAUUUAGUAGCGAAGUAGCUGAUUUCACACUGUCGAGAAAAGUCUCUAUCGAGGUUAAAGGUGCCUGUACCGCAAACCGACACAGGUGGGUGAGGAGAGUAUCCUAAGGCCAGCGAGAGAACUGUUGUUAAGGAACUCGGCAAAAUGACCCCGUAACUUAGGGAGAAGGGGUGCCUUCGAAAGAAGGCCGCAGAGAAUAGGCCCAAGCGACUGUUUACCAAAAACAUAGGUUUCUGCUAAGUCGCAAGACGAUGUAUAGGAGCUGACGCCUGCCCGGUGCUGGAAGGUUAAGGGGAUCUGUUAGAGCAAUCGAAGCAGUGAACUUAAGCCCCAGUAAACGGCGGCCGUAACUAUAACGGUCCUAAGGUAGCGAAAUUCCUUGUCGGGUAAGUUCCGACCCGCACGAAAGGCGUAAUGAUUUGAGCGCUGUCUCGACAAUGCAUCCGGUGAAAUUGAAGUACCAGUGAAGAUGCUGGUUACC